CAUGGACAAAAAUAGAAAUAUUAAAAGGAUAUUUAAAUAUAAACGAACUCUGAUAUUGUGUGCAGCAGGCAGCCCACUGUGGCUCUGUGAAACCACCAGAGCUGUUAAUUGUUCAUACUGUUUCCUAACCAGGAGAGGCCUUUUCUCUAGGCAAGUUGUAUCUUUAUUGAUAGAAUGUAAACCCAAUACAACAGAGAUUUUUGUGUUUUCUUUACUAUUUUAUCCCCAAGGUCAAAACGUCUUGGCACAUAGCAGUAAAUAUGUAAUCAACAUAAAUGUCUGUGAAUGUAUUCUUCAUCUUUUUGCAGCAAACACCGUCUACAAGAUUCGAGUCAAACAACGUGAGAACUUGAAAUACGUCUCCAUUCUUUUUCCUUAGUUCAUUCACUUACGGAACUGUUCUGCCUUCCCAUUUCCACAAAAACUAGUCAUCAGCAAGAAGCUGCCUGUGGGGUUCACGUUCUCAGGUCAAAUGUUUCCUAUUCUAUAAAAUGAAGAUAAUAGUACCCCACUGAAGGGUCAACAUGAGGAUUAAGGAGACAUCAUUUGAAAUGGAGCCUGAUAUACAACUUAGAAGCAACUUGAGGCAGGAUGGGAGCAUAAAAGACAGCCAGGAUGCCAAAGUCUCCAAGCAGUGAGUAGGAGUCUAAGAAGUUGGAAAGAUUCAUGGACCUCUUCCAGUAUGUGAAAGCCACAAAUGUGGAGCAAAUGGGAAAGCAGCAAUGUGGGAACGGAUUAAUACACAGAGCAUCUAGAGAGAAAUAUCCAGCAAUCAGUUGGAGCUGAAAGUCCCAAGAAGGAGAGGGAAUAGAAGGAUGACAUACCUAUUUGGAUGGAAUUCACAUAUAGGAGGAAUCCAAAAAAGUGUCUGUAGAGAUAAAAAGUUGCUUGACUCUGAAGAUUCUGAACUGCCCCAACCUAUGUCCAUGAAGGAUUGUAAAGAGCCCUCAAUUCACCUGUGCUCUCCCAAGAGAGAGCUAGCAUGUUAUGGGGUGGUGGCAACCCACCAUUUUUAGCACUAACUGCUGAAAGAUAGAAAAUAAAAGAAUUGAGGAUUCUUAGAAGACAGAAGACUUGAAGGUGACCAUGUAAGGCUUAUUCUAUAGCCUCAGGUUCUAGAGGUUGCCUGCAUUCCUUGGCUCCUGAAUCUCUAUCAUCUUCAGAGCCAGAAAUUUCCUGUUGAGUCUUUCUGAGGCUGCAUUACCCUGACUCUUCCAUCUCCAUCCUUCAUACUUAAAGGAUCCUAGUGAUUACAUUGGACCCUCCCAUACAAUCUAGGAUACAUUUUUAACCCUAAGGUCAGUUUAUUAGCAACCAUAAUACCCCCUUGGAUAUAACAUAGCAUACUCAUAGGUUUCAGAAAUUAGGACAUGGACAUCUUUGGGGGAAAGGGAGGAAGCCAUUAUUCUGCCUACCAUAGAUGGAGUAUACAGAGGUAAAAUAAAUGAAAGAUAACACCAAGCUUUUAUAAUCGAGAAACCGUAAAGACAAGGGUACACAUGACAGAAAUAAAGAAGCUGAAGAGGGGAAGCUGAUAGGGG